GACGAACGCUGGCGGCGUGCUUAACACAUGCAAGUCGAACGGAAAGGCCCGGCUUUUGUGGGGUGCUCGAUUGGCGAACGCGUGAGUAACACGUGUGUAACCUGCCCUUGUCUGUGGGAUAACUUCUGGAAACUCGGGCUAAUACCGGAUAGGAGCUCUUGCUGCGUGGGGGGGGAUGGAAAGUUUCGGCGGUGGGGGAUGUACUCGCGGCUUAUCCGCUUGUUUGUGUGGUAGUGGUGUACCAAGGCUUUGACGGGUAGCCGGCCUGAGAGCGUGACCAGCGACAAUGCGCCUGCGGUACGGCCCAGACUCCUACGGGAGGCAGCAGUGGGGAAUCUUGCAGAGUGGGCGGAAGCCUGAUGCAGCAGCGCUGCGUGCGGAAUGCCGGCUUUCGGGUUGUAAACCACUUUCGCCUGUGACGAAGCGGGAGUGACGGUAAUGGGUAAAGAAGCCCCGGCUAACUACGUG
rnacentral:rRNA from 1 species